rnacentral:rRNA from 1 species
UACGGAGGGUGCAAGCGUUAUCCGGAUUCACUGGGUUUAAAGGGUGCGUAGGCGGUCUCGCAAGUCUGGCGUGAAAGCCCAAGGCUCAGCCUUGGAAGUGCGCUCGAAACGGCGAGGCUGGAGUGCCGGAGGGGAGAGUGGAAUUCCCGGUGUAGCGGUGAAAUGCGUAGAGAUCGGGAGGAAUACCGGUGGCGAAAGCGGCGAUCUGGGAAGAUACUGACGCUGAGGUGCGAAAGCGUGGGGAGCAAACAGG